rnacentral:rRNA from 1 species
GAUGAACGCUGGCGGCGUGCCUAAUACAUGCAAGUCGAACGCGCAGCGAAAGGUGCUUGCACCUUUCAAGCGAGUGGCGAACGGGUGAGUAACACGUGGAUAACCUGCCUCAAGGCUGGGGAUAACAUUUGGAAACAGAUGCUAAUACCGAAUAAAACUUAGUAUCGCAUGAUACAAAGUUAAAAGGCGCUACGGCGUCACCUAGAGAUGGAUCCGCGGUGCAUUAGUUAGUUGGUGGGGUAAAGGCUUACCGAGACGAUGAUGCAUAGCCGAGUUGAGAGACUGAUCGGCCACAUUGGGACUGAGACACGGCCCAAACUCCUACGGUAGGCUGCAGUAGGGAAUCUUCCACAAUGGGCGCAAGCCUGAUGGAGCAACGCCGCGUGUGUGAUGAAGGCUUUCGGGUCGUAAAGCACUGUUGUAUGGGAAGAAAUGCUAAAAUAGGGAAUGAUUUUAGUUUGACGGUACCAUACCAGAAAGGGACGGCUAAAUACGUGCCAGCCGCCGCCGUAA